rnacentral:rRNA from 1 species
UACGUGAGGUGGCAAGCGUUGUCCGGAAUUAUUGGGCGUAAAGCGCGCGCAGGCGGUCCUUUAAGUCUGAUGUGAAAGCCCACGGCGUCAACCGUGGAGGGUCAUUGGAAACUGGGGGACUUGAGUGCAGGAGAGAAGAGUGGAAUUCCACGUGUGAGCGGUGAAAUGCGGUAGAGAUGUGGAGGAACACCAGUAGGCGAAGGCGACUCUUUGGCCUGUAACUGACGCUGAGGCGGCGAAAGCCGUGGGGAGCAAACAGG